GUGAGGAAUUUUCCGCAAUGGGCGAAAGCCUGACGGAGCAAUGCCGCGUGAAGGAUGAAGGCCUAUGGGUUGUAAACUUCUUUUCUCAGAAAAGAAUUAUGACGGUAUCUGAGGAAUAAGCAUCGGCUAACUCUGUGCCAGCAGCCGCGGUAAGACAGAGGAUGCAAGCGUUAUCCGGAAUGAUUGGGCGUAAAGCGUCUGUAGGUUGUUUAAAAAGUAUUCUGUCAAAGAUUAGGGCUUAACCCUAGAUAGGCAGAAUAAACUUUUAAGCUAGAGUUUGGUAGAGGCAGAGGGAAUUCCCGGUGGAGCGGUGAAAUGCGUAGAUAUCGGGAGGAACACCAAAGGCGAAGGCACUCUGCUGGGCCAAUACUAACACUGAGAGACGAAAGCGAGGGGAGCGAAUGGGAUUAGAAACCCUAGUAGUCC
rnacentral:rRNA from 1 species